rnacentral:rRNA from 1 species
UACAUGGGGUGCAAACGUUGCUCGGAAUUAUUGGGCGUAAAGCGCACGUAGGCGGUUUGUUAAGUCGGAUGUGAAAUCCCUCGGCUCAACUGAGGAAGUGCAUCCGAAACUGGCAGGCUUGAGUACUAAAGAGGGUCGCGGAAUUCCCGGUGUAGAGGUGAAAUUCGUAGAUAUCGCUUGGAACGCCAAAGGUGAAAACAGGUUGCUGGGGAUGCGCUGACACUGAGACGCGAAAGCCAGGGGAGCGAACGGG